UCAGACCCCCUACACACACAUACACAAAGAAGUAGGCCACUGGUUGUUGCCCCGAAUAGGGGCUGGGCACGAAGGAGACCCACUGAAUUCGGCCUUCGGAAAGAGGCCCGGAACAGGGUCACGGACAGAGCCGAACAACGCCGGGAAGAGCCGAAUAGAGCCGGAGAGACCCGAGUAUAACCGGAGAAGCGAAGACCGGCCGGAAGAGGAGCCGAGCGCGGCCGGAAGGAGCCGAGCCCGUCCGAAGGAGGCGGAGCGCGGCUGGGCGUUGGGCCCACCGAGCCCGCGCCAUGGCGGAGGGGACUGAUGUGGUCGGAGGUGGGGCUGUUGGUGGCCUCCUGGCAAAGGACCUCUUGCGGCAAUCUAAGAGCCCAGACGCGGUCCCGAACCGGCGGCGCUUCUCGUCGCUGUCGCGUGACGCUGAGCGCCGAGCCUACCAGUGGUGCCGGGAGUACUUGGGCGGGGCCUGGCGCCGAGUGCACCCGGAGGAGCUGAGGGUUUACCCCGUGAGCGGAGGCCUCAGUAACCUGCUCUUCCGCUGCUCGCUCCCGGACCACCUGCCUAGCGUUGGCGAGGAGCCCCGGGAGGUCCUGCUACGGCUGUAUGGGGCCAUUCUGCAGGGCGUGGACUCCCUGGUCCUCGAAAGCGUGAUGUUUGCCAUCCUUGCAGAGCGGUCACUGGGGCCCCAGCUCUACGGAGUCUUUCCUGAGGGCCGGCUAGAACAGUACAUCCCAGUACGAGCCAAGCCCUGCCCACUCCUCACCCCCAGUCCCCCUCCCCAGUGUCCACCUUCACAUCCCUCACCCCAGAGCCGGCCAUUGAAAACUCAAGAGCUUCGAGAGCCGAUGUUGUCAGCAGCUAUUGCCACGAAGAUGGCCCAGUUCCAUGGCAUGGAGAUGCCUUUCACCAAGGAGCCCCACUGGUUGUUUGGGACCAUGGAGCGGUACCUACAGCAGAUACAGGACCUGCCCCCAACUGGUCCUCCCCAGAUGAAUCUACUGGAGGUAUACAGCCUGAAGGAAGAGAUGGGCAACCUCAGGAAGUUGCUGGAUGCUACUCCAUCACCAGUGGUCUUCUGCCACAAUGACAUCCAGGAAGGUAGGAGAAGGCAGCUGAGUCUCCCAACCCAAGGUGGAGGUGCCAGAGAGCCCAGGAGUGACCACAACCCUACCCCCUUCUCCCAGGGAACAUCUUGCUGCUCUCAGAGCCAGAAAGUGCUGACAGCCUCAUGCUGGUGGACUUUGAGUACAGUAGUUACAACUAUAGGGGCUUUGACAUUGGAAACCAUUUUUGUGAGUGGGUUUAUGAUUAUACACAUGAGGAAUGGCCUUUCUACAAAGCAAGGCCCGAAGACUACCCCACACAAGGACAGCAGAGGUAAAGAAAGGUGAGGCCCUUCUCUCCCGAGAUGAGCAGAGAAGACUAGAAGAGGAUUUGCUGGCAGAGGUCAAUCGAUAUGCUCUGGCAUCCCAUUUCUUCUGGGGUCUGUGGUCUAUCCUCCAGGCAUCCAUGUCCACUAUAGAAUUUGGUUAUAUGGAGUAUGCCCAGUCUCGGUUCCAGUUCUACUUCCAACAGAAGGGACAGCUGACCAGCUUCCACCCCUCAUCCUGACUUUCCACCCUCCCAGUCCUUGGACUUCUCCCAGAGUCUCCAGGGCAGGACCUUGGAGGGAGCAGCAAAGAGCAGAAGGCCCUGGGCACCUGGGCUGAUGCCCCCAGUGAGACUGGGUUGAGGUUGACCUCUCCCUGAGUUUGAGCAGGUCCCGUGGCAGGCAGAGAACCCCUGUACUGUGUAUCUUAGCACAAUAAACAUGCUUCUUCCUUCA